rnacentral:lncRNA from 1 species
CGCAACGUGGCGAGGUCAGCACGGAGCCUGGACCCCACCCGCCCGAGGUUCCGUCUGUGUCAGCGGCGAUGCGCUGACGUCGCUGGAUAGAGAGGUCGAUGAUACUAGGAAGGAAAUCAUGAAUGCGUCUGACGAGAGGUCGUCUCUCGUUCUUGUUGCUUUGCUUCUUGCUCCUUGUUUUACUUUUCUGUAUGUAAGAUAAGAUGUUUCAGUUGUCAGUUUUAAGUUCCUGCUUUGUAAGAUAAGAUGUUGCAGUCGCCGAAAAUCAAUAAAAACUUGAGCCAAGUUCGUGCUAGCAGUGGUUAACUGAAUUGUUCUACUCCCUCUGAUCCAAAAUAAGCGUCACAGUUUUGAGCUAAGGUUGAAGGUGGUAAUUAAGUGAGUUGUUCUAUCCUGCUAGGUUAAGAACGAAGGCCUGAUGAAAACAGAAACAAAAAUCCUUGUAUUUCAUGCAAGAACAUGACAGCUGCUAGAGUAGAAGAAUCCGGCCUGGAGUAGAGCUGUCAGCGGUGGCCGUUUGCCGGAGUUUGUGGCUGGACGCGAAACGCUUUCGCGUGGUUGCGCCCAGAAGCAUGUACUGUUUCGGCCGGACUAACUGGACGGGUGAGCGAGCAUUCAUCCAGAAGCUUUAGAAAAGCCGAUCGAGUCGAGUAAGCGCCCAAAAUUUGGGCUUUGCCCAGUUGCAGUAACUGCCGUUCUAAAUUUGGACCGUCUUAACUUAACCCGGUAGUAGCACAUUGAUUGCAGAUUUGUCGAGUUACUAAUGACUGCAGUGAUUUAAUGGGGACGCCACUAGCUUGUUUCGCUAGACUAGAUGAUGAGGCGCCGGUGAGUAGCCGUUGCAUUCAGCAUGCCGGACCACGUAAUAUGUGCACGUCCACCGGCACCCUGAAACGAACUCGGAUGGAACUCUGGAGAGCGCAGGCUGCAUGCAUGGGUGCAGAACGGAUCGAGCGAUCCGGGCGGUCGGGUGCUCCCGGGGACGGAAGGCCGGGGCCGAGGUGUAGUGGUACGAGGGAGGGAAACGCGAAAGGCAUUGGCGUGGAGUGCUGCGCUGGGUCCGCCGCCCAUGCACCAGGUGGGUUCCGUGGCCAGGAGGAGCCCGAUCGGGACCAUCCGUCCGUCCGUCCCCAGGCCAGGUGAACCCGUGGCGCCAGGGGCAGGGGUCCACGCGGUGCACGCCUGCCUCUGCCCGUGCGAGCGCAACCGUCUCCUUCCUUGGCCGAGACUCGAGGGAGAUGCCUCCGCGCGCCUUGGCAGUUGCACCUGGAUCUCCUGUCGCAGUCGCAUCGUAGGGGUGGUUGCGUUGCCUUGCGUGUGGAGAUUGCAUGCAGCAUGCUUCCUUCCCUGCGUAUCGGCGGCCCCCGGGGCGCCGGGGGAUGGCAUAGUCGGUGUUGGGCGAUGCCGCGCUCCACUGCGAUGACGACUACGUACUACUACUAGUGUACUACAGAUGGCAGGUGAUCGAGUGGAGCACUGGGUUUUUCUUCGAUGCGGCCGUGUCUGUCUGUCAUCGUCUAAUGGGGCGUGUUUGGUUCCAGGUUGCAACAGUAGCUGCAUUGCAUGUCCAUCUUUAGCCAGACUGAUUCUUGAAAUACAGCUUCAUAUGCAGCAGAUGCAACCUGUUUGGUUGCCUGCAUCGCAUGGAGGGGCAUUUACUCCCUGCUGUUUGGUUGCCGUUUUUGUGCUUAUGAUGUGAGCAGAUGCAAACUUCACCUGUUUGGUUGCAAACAACGUCUGUGUUCUGAUCGCCCCAUUCAAAUGUGGUGGCCUUACCACCACAUGAUUAGCACAACAACAAGCACAUAUGAGAUCAAACAAAGCAAGCAACCAAAUGAAAUCAAACAAAGCAAGCAUCUUGGUGCAUUUGCUUUUGGGCAAAUGUCUCUGAUCAGUGCCAUUUUGCAAAGAGUUUGUGCACUAAUACUUGUCAUCUUAUCUAACAAAAUAUUGAAGACUGACUGGAAUGUGGUCGGUGGAGGAGCUCAGGUGGUGGCCGGAGCUGAGGGCGCCGAGGAUUUCAUCCCCAUGAACAGGUGGCUCAGGAUGGUGGACCUGCCUGGCAGGAUCGCCUUCAUGAGCCUGCCUCGUUCAAGGGGACGAUCUCCGAGGCAGGGCCACGAGGAGGGGGCCCGGGAGCCGCUGCGCUUCUACCAGCAGAUCAAAGACAACGAGGACCUCACCAUGCUCGUCGUCCCUCACAAGUUCGUGGAGGUGAUGAACACCUAGUUGGUCAUCAAGCGGCUCCCGCGCGUGGUCAGGCCGUCGGCGAACAAGCGGUGCAUGUUCUGGGACAAAUCAAACAAUUCAGCAUCGAUGCCUACCUCGCCCCCUAUAUUGUCUUCCACUGAGGGCGAGUCCAUGGCCGUUGUCGUGGCCCCGGUGUUGAAGAGCAUGCCUGAACUUAGGGAGCUUUGUAUGAGUCUGUUAGUGAAGAAUAUGAAGAUGGACUCGUCGGAGACCUCAUGUGAGGAACAUGACUUAUCUUUGUCAUGUGUGCAUCUGAAGAAUGUGGAUGCGUGUGGUGUGUUGGCACCGGCUUUUGAGAGCCGCUUUGUGACUGAUCGCUCGACAUCUGGCAAGACAGAUGGUUGCCUCGUGAAGGUGAAAUCAAAGAGAAACAAACGCAAGAAGUGUGACGGCAAAGAGAAGGCAUACGUGAUUUCAUGAUGGAUAGUGCUCACAUUCUCGUGUCGUUGCUACCUCUUGAGCACUGCGUUGGUUUUUUCUUGAAGAGGAAAGGGUGAUGCAGUAAAGCAGCGUAAGUAUUUCCCUCAGUUUUUUAGAACCAAUGUAUCAAUCCAGUAGGAGGCCACACACGAGUCCCUCGCACCUACACAAACAAAUAAGAUCCUCGCAACCAACGCAAUAAAGGGGUUGUUAAUCCCUUCACGAUCACUUGCGAAAGUGAGAUCUGAUAGAUAUGAUAAGAUAAUAUUUUUGGUAUUUUUAUGAUAAAGAUGCAAAGUAAAUAAAAGGCAAUAAAAAUAGCUAAUUGUUGGAAGAUUAAUAUGAUGGAAAAUAGACCCGGGGGCCAUAGGUUUCACUAGUGGCUUCUCUCGAGAGCAUAAGUAUUACGGUGGGUGAACAAAUUACUGUUGAGCAAUUGACAGAAUUGAGCAUAGUUAUGAGAAUAUCUAGGUAUGAUCAUGUAUAUAGGCAUCACGUCCGCGACAAGUAGACCGAGUCCUGCCUGCAUCUACUACUAUUACUCCACACAUCGACCGCUAUCCAGCAUGCAUCUAGAGUAUUAAGUUCAAAAGAAUAUAGUAACGCUUUAAGUAAGAUCACAUGAUGUAGAGGGAUAAACUCAUGCAAUAUGAUAUAAACCCCAUCUUGUUAUCCUCGAUGGCAACAAUACAAUACGUGCCUUGCUGCCCGGCCCUGCUGUCACUGGGAAAGGACACCGCAAGAUUGAACCCAAAGCUAAGCACUUCUCCCAUUGCAAGAAAGAUCAAUCUAGUAGGCCAAACCAAAUUGAUAAUUCGAAGAGACUAGCAAAGAUAACCAAUCAUACAUAAAAGAAUUUAGAGGAGAUUCAAAUAUUGUUCAUAUAUAAACUUGAUCAUAAACCCACAAUUCAUCGGUCUCAACAAACACACCGCAAAAGAAGAUUACAUCGAAUAGAUCUCCACGAGAAUCGUGGAGAACUUUGUAUUGAGAACCAAAGAGAGAGAAGAAGCCAUCUAGCUAAUAACUAUGGACCCGAAGGUCUGAGGUAAACUACUCACACAUCAUCGGAGAGGCUAUGGUGUUGAUGUAGAAGCCCUCCGUGAUCAAUGCCCCCUCCGGCGGAGCUCCGGAAAAGGCCCGAAGAUGGGAUCUCACGAGUACAGAAGGUUGCGGCGGUGGAAUUAGGUUUUUGGCUCCGUAUCUGAUACUUUGGGGGUACGUAGGUAUAUAUAUAGGAGGAAGAAGUAUGUCGGUGGAGCAACAUGGGCCCCACGAGGGUGGAGGGUGCACCCAGGGGAGGUAGGCGCGCCCUCCUACCUCGUGCCCUCCUGAUUGCUUUCUUGACGUAGGGUCCAAGUCCUCUGGAUCACGUUUGUUCCAAAAAUCACGUUCCCGAAGGUUUCAUUCCGUUUGGACUCUGUUUGAUAUUCUUUUUCUGCGAAACUCUGAAAUAGGCAAAAAACAGCAAUUCUGGGCUGGGCCUCCGGUUAAUAGGUUAGUCCUAAAAAUAAUACAAAAGUGUAUAAUAAAACCCAUUAAACAUCCAAAACAGAAUAUAAUAUAGCAUGGAACAAAAAAAAUUAUAGAUACGUUGGAGACGUAUCAAGCAUCGCCAAGCUUAAUUCCUGCUCGUCCUCGAGUAGGAAAUGAUAAAAACAUAAUUUUUGAUGUGGAAUGCUACUUAGCAUAAUUUCAAUGUAAUUCUUCUUAUUGUGGCACGAAUGUUCAGAUUUGAUAUGAUUCAAGAUAAAAGUUUAAUGUUGACAUAAAAAUAAUAAUACUUCAAGCAUGCUAACCAAGCAAUUAUGUCUUAUCAAAAUAACAUUGCCAAAGCAAGUUAUCCCUACAAAAUCAUAUAGUCUGGCUAUGCUCCAUCUUCCCCACACAAAAUAUUCAUAUCAUGUACAACCCCGGUUUUAGCCAAGCAAUUGAUUCAUACUUUUUAACGCGCUUCAGCCUUUUAAACUCUUACGCAAUACGAGCGCAAGCCAUGGAUAUAGCACUAUGGUGGAAUAAGGUAUAAUGAUAGGGGUUAUGUGGGAAGACAAAAAAAGGAGAAAGUCUCACAUCAACGAGGCUAAUCAACAGGCUAUGGAGAUGCCCAUCAAUUGAUGUCAAUGCAAGGAGUAGGGAUUGCCAUGCAACAGAUGCACUUAGAGUUAUAAGUGUAUGAAAGCUCAAACAAAAGAAACUAAGUGGGUGUGCAUCCAACUUGCUUGCUCACGAAGACCUCGGGCAUUUGAGGAAGCCCAUCAUUGGAAUAUACAAGCCAAGUUCUAUAAUGAAAUUUCCCACUAGUAUAUGAAAGCGACAAAAUGAGAGACUCUCUAUCAUGAAGAUCACGGUGCUACUUUGAAGCACAAGUGUGGUAAAAGGAUAGUAACAUUGUCCCUUCUCUCUUUUUCUCUUUUUUUUAUUUGGGCCUUUUUUUUUAUGGCCUCUUUUUUUAUUUAGUCCGGAGUCUCAUCCCGACUUGUGGGGGAAUUAUAGUCUCCAUCAUCCUUUCCUCACUUGGGACAAUGCUCUAAUAAUGAUGAUCAUCACACUUUUAUUUACUUACAACUCAUGAAUUACAACUCAUAGAACAAAAUAUGACUCUAUGUGGAUGCCUCCGGCGGUGUACCGGGAUAUGCAAUGAAUCAAGAGCGACAUGUAUGAAAGAAUUAUGAAUGGUGGCUUUGCCACAAAUACAAUGUCAACUACAUGAUCAUGCAAAGUAAUAUGACAAUGAUGGAGCGUGUCAUGAUAAACGAAACGAUGGAAAGUUGCAUGGCAAUAUUUUGGAAUGGCUAUGGAAAUGCCAUAAUAGGUAGGUAUGGUGGCUAUUUUGAGGAAGAUAUAAGGAGGUUUAUGUGUGAUAGAGCGUAUCAUAUCACGGGGUUUGGAUGCACCGGCGAAGUUUGCACCAACUCUCAAGGUGAGAAGGGGCAAUGCACGGUACCGAAGAGGCUAGAAAAUUGCGGAAAGGUAAGUGUGCGUAUAAUCCAUGGACUCACAUUAGUCAUAAAGAACUCAUAUACUCAUUGCAAAAAUUUAUUAGCCCUCGAAGCAAAGUACUACUACGCAUGCUCCUAUGGGAAGAAUUGGUAGGAGUUAACCAUCGCGCGAUCCCGACCACCACACAAAGGAUGACAAUCAAUAAAUACCUCAUGCUCCGACUUCAUUACAUAACGGUUCACCAUACGUGCAUGCUACGGGAAUCACAAACUCCAACACAAGUAUUUUUCAAUUCUACAAUUACUCAACUAGCACAACUAUGAUAUUACCACCUUUAUAUCUCAAAACAAUUAUCAAGCGUCAAAUUUCUCAUGAUAUUAUAAUUAAAGCAAAUUGCCAUGCUAUUUUAAGACUCUCAAAAUAAUAUAAGUGAAGCAUGAGAGAUAAAUAGUUUCUAUAAAACAAAUCCACCGCCGUGCUCUAAAAGAUAUAAGUGAAGCACUAGAGCAAAACUAUAUAGCUCAAAAAAUAUAAGUGAAACACAUAGAGUAUUCUAAUAAGUUCCAAUUUAUGUGUGACUCUCUCAAAAGGUGUGUACAGCAAGGAUGAUUGUGGUAAACUAAAUAAACAAAGAUUCAAAUAAUACAAGACGCUCCAAGCAAAACACAUACAUGUGGUGAAUAAAAAUAUAGCUCCAAGUAAAGUUACCGGUGGAAGUAGACGAAAGAGGGGAUGCCUUCCGGGGCAUCCCCAAGCUUUGGCUUUUUGGUGUCCUUAGAUUAUCUUGGGGUGCCAUGGGCAUCCCCAAGCUUAGGCUCUUGCCACUCCUUGUUCCAUAAUCCAUCAAAUCUUUCACCCAAAACUUGAAAACUUCACAACACAAAACUCAGCAGAAAAUCUCGUGAGCUGCGUUAGCGAAAGAAAACAAAACACCACUUCAAGGUACUGUAAUGAACUCAUUCUUUAUUUAUAUUGGUGUUAAACCUACUGUAUUCCAAAUUCUCUAUGGUUUAUAAACUAUUUUACUAGUCAUAGAUUCAUCAAAAUAAGCAAACAACACACGAAAAACAGAAUCUGUCAAAAACAGAACAAUCUGUAACUAACGCAAACUUCUGGAACUCCAAAAAAUCUACAAAAUAGGACGACCUAGACAAUUUGUUUAUUGAUCUUCUGCAAUUGGAAUCAAUAUUUAUCACGUUCUGGUGAUUUUUAACAAUUGUUUUCGUGAACAGAAAGUUCUGGAAUUUUCAGCAAGAUCAAAUAACUAUCAUCCAAGAAGAUCCUAUAGGUUAAACUUGGCACAAACAGUAAUCAAAACAUAAAAAAAUCUAACCAGAGGCUAGAUCAAAUAUUUAUUCCUAAACAGAAGCAAAAAGCAAAAAACUGAAAAUAAAAUUGGGUUGCCUCCCAACAAGCGCUAUCAUUUAACGCCCCUAGCUAGGCAUUGAUAAUUUUAAUGAUGCUCGCAUAAAAGACAAGAAUUGAAGCGCGAAGAAAGCAUCAUGAAACACGUGACAAACACAUCUAAGUCUAACAUAUUUCCUAUUCAUAGGCAUCUCAUAGAAAAACAAAUUAUCAUAGCAAGCAAAAACUAGCAUAUGCAAGAAAGCGGAAAGGAACGAUAGCAAUCUCAACAUAACGAGAGGUAAUUUAGUAACGUGAAAAUUUCUAUAACCAUAUUUUCCUCUCUCAUAAUAAUUACAUGUAGGAUCAUAAGAAAAUUCAACAAUAUAGCUAUCACAAAACAUAUUCUUAACACGAUCCACAUGUAUGCAAAGUUUACACUCUUCCAAAAUAGUGGGAAUAUCAUUAACUAAAGUCAUGACCUCUCCAAACCCACUUUUAUCAAAAAUUUCAUAAGAUUGAACAUUCUCCAAAUAUGUGGGAUCUAAAGUUGACACUCUUCCAAACCCACUUUCAAUAUUAUUGCAAAAAUUAAUAUCAAUCUCAUAUUCAUCACGGGGCUUAAAUAAAUUUUGAAGAUCAAAAGAAGAAUCACCCCCAUCAUGAUCAUUGCAACAAAUAGUAGUCAUAGCAAAACUAGCAUCCCCAAGCUUGAGGUUUUGCAUAUCAUUAACACAAUUGACAUUAAGAGAAUUUAUAACAACAUCAUUGCAAUCAUGCUUUUCAUCGAAGGAACUAUCAAGUAUGGGUGCAAUAGCAACGAUCUCAUGUUUAACAUAAGGAACUAUAGCAAAUUCAUCUUCAUAAAGAUUGGCAUCAUGGCCACAAGAAUAGCAAGCAUCAUGUUCAUCAAGGGAUAUUUCAAUGAAAUCAUAAGAAUCAUCAUUAUCUAUAGAUUCAUGCAUAUCAUUAUUUUCUUCCAAAGCAACGGUCAUUCUCUCAAUAAAUUCUUUGACAUAGACAUUAUGAGCAUAGUUUUCAUAUCAAUAUUUAAGUAUGUCAAAAUUUUCAGAUUCGUAGAGAGUAAUAUCAUACUUUUCAAUCAAAGAAGCAACUUCAUAAGCACCCUUAAAAGCAAAAUUCUUCAAUUUGUUCGAUAUCGUAGUAACUAUAAACACCCUUUGCAUAAGAAGACAAGAUUUCAUUAUCAUUAAACUCACAUAGGUAGGGAAGGUGUUUUUUAGGGUUCUUAGAGCAACAAGUAAAAUCACAAAUUUCACAAAGAUUCCAAGCAUAACACAGCAAUCUGUUUAUUUGAUUCCAUAAGAGUCUCCCUUUUUCAGACAAACGGUGACGCACAAAAUGAGCAUGCUCAUCUAAAGAUUUCCUAUCAACUAGGCUAGUUGGGGUUUCAGCACGAGCGCAUAAGGAUCAAAGAUGAUCCAAGUAGAACACUUUAAGUGGAUCCAUAUCAAUAGAUUUUUAGCAAGCAAAGAUGCAAGCAAAUAUAAGGCACAUGGAAACACAAACAAAAAGACAUACAGGAAGAAGGCGAAGAAAAGGCAAAUAAAACGGCAAGGGUGAAGUGGGGGAGAAGAAAACGAGAGGCAAAUGGCAAAUAAUGUAAUGUGGGAGAUAAGGGUUUGUGAUGGGUACUUAGUAUGUUGACUUUUGCGUAGACUCCCCGGCAACGACGCCAGAAAUCCUUCUUGCUACCUCUUGAGCACUGUGUUGGUUUUCCCUUGAAGAGGAAAGGGUGAUGCAGUAAAGCAGCGUAAGUAUUUCCCUCAGUUUUUGAGAACCAAGGUAUCAAUCCAGUAGGAGGCCACGCACGAGUCCCUCGCACCUACACAAACAAAUAAGAUCCUUGCAACCAAUGCAAUAAAGGGGUUGUCAAUCCCUUCACGGUCACUUACGAAAGUGAGAUCUGAUAGAUAUGAUAAGAUAAUAUUUUUGGUAUUUUUAUGAUAAAGAUGCAAAGUAAAAUAAAAGGCAAUAAAAAUAGCUAAGUGUUGGAAGAUUAAUAUGAUGGAAAAUAGACCCGGGGGCUAUAGGUUUCACUAGUGGCUUCUCUCGAGAGCAUAAGUAUUACGGUGGGUGAACAAAUUACUUUUGAGCAAUUGACAGAAUUGAGCAUAGUUAUGAGAAUAUCUAGGUAUGAUCAUGUAUAUAGGCAUCACGUCCGCGACAAGUAGACCGACUCCUGCCUGCAUGUACUACUAUUACUCCACACAUAGACCGCUAUCCAGCAUGCAUCUAGAGUAUUAAGUUCAAAAGAACAGAGUAACGCUUUAAGUAAGAUGACAUGAUGUAGAGGGAUAAACUCAUGCAAUAUGAUAUAAACCCCAUCUUGUUAUCCUCGAUGGCAACAAUACAAUACGUGCCUUGCUGCCCGGCCCUGCUGUCACUGGGAAAGGACACCGCAAGAUUGAACCCAAAGCUAAGCACUUCUCCCAUUGCAAGAAAGAUCAAUCUAGUAGGCCAAACCAAACUGAUAAUUCGAAGAGACUUGCAAAGAUAACCAAUCGUACAUAAAAGAAUUCAGAGGAGAUUCAAAUAUUGUUCAUAGAUAAACUUGAUCAUAAACCCACAAUUCAUCGGUCUCAACAAACACACCGCAAAAGAAGAUUACAUCGAAUAGAUCUCCACGAGAAUCGUGGAGAACUUUGUAUUGAGAUCCAAAGAGAGAGAAGAAGCCAUCUAGCUAAUAACUAUGGACCCGAAGGUUUGAGGUAAACUACUCACACAUCAUCGGAGAGGCUAUGGUGUUGAUGUAGAAGCCCUCCGUGAUCAAUGCCCCCUCCGGCAGGAUGCCGGAAAAGGCCCGAAGAUGGGAUCUCACGGGUACAGAAGGUUGCGGCGGUGGAAUUAGGUUUUCGUGGAUGCUUCUGUUGGUUUGGGGGUACGUAGGUAUAUAUAGGAGGAAGAAGUACGUCGGUGGAGCAACGUGGGCCCCACGAGGGUGGAGGGCGCGCCCAGGGGAGGUAGGCGUGCCCCCUACCUCGUGCCCUCCUGAUUGCUUUCUUGAUGUAGGGUCCAAGUCCUCUGGAUCACGUUUGUUCCAAAAAUCACGUUCCCGAAGGUUUCAUUCCGUUUGGAUUCUGUUUGAUAUUCUUUUUCUGCGAAACUCUGAAAUAGGCAAAAAAACAACAAUUCUGGGCUGGGCCUCCGGUUAAUAGGUUAGUCCCAAAAUAAUAUAAAAGUGUAUAAUAAAGCCCAUUAAACAUCCAAAACAGAAUAUAACAUAGCAUGGAACAAUAAAAAAUUAUAGAUACGUUGGAGACGUAUCAGUCGUCGUCGUGGCUUUGAUCUUCUGAGUCAUUGCAUCGAUGUUCUCACCAAGUGUUGAGGGUUGUGAGUGUUGUGUGUUAGGAGCAUUGGGUGGGCAGUGUAUGUGUCCGUGGUGCUUCGUGCUCUGUGAGUAGCCCUCUUCUGGGUUGUUUGUAUCGGUUUUCGCCCAGUUUUCCGUAAAUUAACUGGACAAUUCUCUUCUUCUUAAUUAAUCGAUGAGGCAAUUCUUUUGCCUGCGUUUCGAAAAAAACAAAUCAAGCAAGGAAAUGACAGCAAACUACUUAACUACAUAGCAUAAGUCUAGAUUAACAGCAGGUGCAUCCUCCUUCCCUACUCCAUGCGAGGUUGCUGCUCCUGGCCAAAAUAUGAACAAGUUCCGAGCAUAAGUACCCAUAAGUCUCGCCACACACCAUAAAAGUUCAACACUAACACCUUACUUAACUUAAGUACAUAGCAUGCUCAAUGUCACCAACGCAGUUGUGCCUGCUGCAACGAAACCUGAACAUGACCGAGGAGACGUGGUUGUAGAUCUGAACCUUCAGUCCGAGUCCUGAGAUGCGCACAACGACAAAGAUCGCCGGGGACGAUCCGGUGGCCGCGGCAGAAGUAAUUCCAGCCCCGGCCAAGCACCAUGUGCCCCUCGAAGUUCUGGACCUGCACCCAGAACACGCACCGCUUGUUCGCCGACAGCCUGACCACACGCGGGAGCCGCUUGAUGACCAACCAGGUGUUCAUCACCUCCACGAACUUGCGAGGGACGACGAGCAUGGCGAGGUCCUCGUUGUCCUUGAUCUGCUAGUAGAAGCGCAGCGGCUCCCGGGCUCCCUCCUCGUGGCCCUGCCUCGGAGAUCGUCCCCUUGAAUGAGGCAGGCUCAUGAAGGCGAUCCUGCCAGGCAGGUCCACCGUCUUGAGCCACCUGUUCAUGGGGAUGAAAUCCUCGGCGCCCUUAGCUCCGGCCACCACCUGAGCUCCUCCACCCGCCACAUCCCAGUCAGUCUUCAAUAUCUUGCCAGAUAAGAUGACAAGUAUUAGUGCACAAACUCUUUGCAAAAUGGCACUGAUCAGAGACAUUUGCCCAAAGGCAAAUGCCACUGAUCAGUGCACAAACUCUUUGCCAAAUGCCACUUAUCAGUGGCACUUGCUUUUGGGAAAAUGCCACUGAUCAGUGGCACUGAUCAGUGGACUUGCCCAACAACAAGUGCCACUGAUUAGUGGUAGUCUCCCAUGAACAAAUGCCACUUAUCAAUGGCACUUGUUGUUGGGCAAAUGCCAUUGAUCAGUGGACUUGCCCAACAACAAGUGCCACUGAUCAGUGGUAGUUGCCAUGAGCAAAUGCCACUUAUCAAUGGCACUUGUUGUUGGGCAAAUGCCACUGAUCAGUGGCAUUUGCUCAUGGGCAACUACCACUAAUCAGUGGCACUUGCUGUUGGGCAAGUCCACUGAUCAGUGGCAUCUGCUUUUCUGUAACUGCCACUCAUCAGUGCACUAUCCUAAGCAUGGAAAUAUCUAUAAAUAGCAACAACAAGUGUUGGGGAACGUAGUAAUUUCAAAAAAAAUCCUACGCACACGCGGGAUCAUGGUGAUGCAUAGCAACGAGAGGGGAUAGUUGUUGUCCACGUACCCUCAUAGACCGAAAGCGGAAGCGUUAGCACAACGCGGUUGAUGUAGUCGUACGUCUUCACGAUCCGACCGAUCCAAGUACCGAACGUACGGCACCUCCGAGUUCAGCUCGAUGACGUCCCGCGAACUCCGAUCCAGCAGAGCUUCACGGGAGAGUUCCGUCAGCACGACGGCAUGAUAACGGUGAUGAUGUUGCUACCAACGCAGGGCUUCGCCUAAGCACCGCUACGAUAUGACCGAGGUGCAAUAUGGUGGAGGGGGGCACCGCACACGGCUGGAAUAGAUCAACGGAUCAACUUGUGUGUUCUAGGGUGCCCCCUGCCCCCGUAUAUAAAGGAGCAAGGGGGGAGGCGGCCGGCCAGGAGGAGGGCGUGCCAAGGGGGGAGUCCUACUCCCACCGGGAGUAGGACUCCUCCUUUUGCUUGUUGGAGUAGGAGAGGGAAGGAAGGGAGAGAGGAGAAGGAAAAGGGGGGCGGCGCCCCCCUCCUUGUCCAAUUCGGACUAGAGGGGGAGGGGGCGCGGCUGCCCUGGCCGCCCCUCCUCUUCUCCCACUAAGGCCCAUAAGGCCCAAUUAACUCCCCCCGGGGGGGGUCCGGUAACCCCCCGGUACUCCGGUUUUCUCCGAAAUCACUCGGAACACUUCCGGUGUCCGAAUAUAGUCGUCCAAUAUAUCGAUCUUUACGUCUCGACCAUUUCGAGACUCCUCGUCAUGUCUGUGAUCAUAUCCGAGAGUCCGAACUACCUUCGGUACAUCAAAACACAAAAACUCAUAAUACCGAUCAUCACCAAACUUUAAGCGUGCGGACCCUACGGGUUACAGAACUAUGUAGACAUGACCGAGACACGUCUCCAGUCAAUAACCAAUAACCUGGAUGCUCAUAUUGGCUCCUACAUAUUCUACGAAGAUCUUUAUCGGUCAAACCGCAUAACAACAUACGUUGUUCCCUUUGUCAUCGGUAUGUUACUUGCCCGAGAUUCGAUCGUCAGUAUCUCAAUACCUAGUUCAAUCUCGUUACUGCCAAGUCUCUUUACUCAUUCCGUAAUGCAUCAUCCCGCAACUAACUCAUUAGUCACAUUGCUUGCAAGGCUUAUAGUGACGUGCAUUACCGAGAGGGCCCAGAGAUACCUCUCCGACAAUCGGAGUGACAAAUCCUAAUCUCGAAAUACGCCAACUCAACAAGUACCUUAGGAGACACCUGUAGAGCACCUUUAUAAUCACCCAGUUACGUUGUGACGUUUCAUAGCACACAAAGUGUUCCUUCGGUAAACGGGAGUUGCAUAAUCUCAUAGUCAUAGGAACAUGUAUAAGUCAUGAAGAAAGCAAUAGCAACAUACUAAACGAUCAAGUGCUAAGCUAACGGAAUGGGUCAAGUCAAUCACAUCAUUCUCCUAAUGAUGUGAUCCUGUUAAACAAAUGACAACU